rnacentral:rRNA from 1 species
GACGAACGCUGGCGACGCGCUUAACACAUGCAAGUCGAGCGAUCGACUCCGGGACCUUCGGGUCCUGGAGCACGGAGCGGCGAACGGGUGAGUAACACGUGGGUAACCUGCCCUUGGCUCUGGGAUAACUCCGGGAAACCGGGGCUAAUACCGGAUGACGUCCGAAGCCUGCGGGCUUCGGACCAAAGGUAGCUUCGGCCUCCGGUCGGGGAUGGGCCCGCGGCCUAUCAGCUUGUUGGUGGGGUAACGGCCUACCAAGGCAACGACGGGUAGCUGGUGUGAGGGCAUGACCCGCCACACUGGGACUGAGACACGGCCCAGACUCCUACGGGAGGCAGCAGUGGGGAAUCUUGCGCAAUGGGCGAAAGCCUGACGCAGCGACGCCGUGUGCGGGAAGAAGGCCUUCGGGUUGUAAACCGCUUUCAGGAGGGACGAAGCCACUCGGGUUAAUAGCCCAGAGGGUGACGGUACCUCCAGAAGAAGCCCCGGCUAACUACGUGCCAGCCGCCGCCGUAAAAC